CAUCGAUGAAGAACGCAGCGAAAUGCGAUAAGUAAUGUGAAUUGCAGAAUUCAGUGAAUCAUCGAAUCUUUGAACGCACAUUGCGCCCGCCAGUAUUCUGGCGGGCAUGCCUGUUCGAGCGUCAUUUCAACCCUCAAGCCCUGCUUGGUGUUGGG
rnacentral:rRNA from 1 species